GACGAACGCUGGCGGCGUGCCUAAUACAUGCAAGUCGAGCGAACAGACGAGGAGCUUGCUCCUCUGACGUUAGCGGCGGACGGGUGAGUAACACGUGGAUCAUCUACCUAUAAGACUGGGAUAACCUCGGGAAACCGGCGCUAAUACCGGAUAAUAUCUUGAACCACAUGGUUCAAUAGUGAAAGACGGUUUUGCUGUAACUAAUAGAUGUAUCUGGGCGGCUUUAGCUGGUUGGUAAGGUAACGGCUUACCAAGGCGACGAGGCGUUGCCGACCUGAGAGGGUGGUAGGCCGCAUGGGAGCGUGACCGGGGACCAGACGCCUACGGGAGGCAGCAGAAGGGAAUCGUACGCAAUGGUGGAAAGCCUGACGGAGCAAGGCGGCGGGUGUGAUGAAGGUCUUCGGUUCGGAAAACUCUGUUAUGAGGUAAAAACAAAUGUGGAAGGAAAUAUGCAGUUAUUGACGGUACCUAAUCAGAAAGCCACGGCUAACUACGUG
rnacentral:rRNA from 1 species